rnacentral:rRNA from 1 species
AUUGAACGCUGGCGGCAGGCCUAACACAUGCAAGUCGAGCGAGCGGCGGACGGGUGAGUAAUGUCUGGGAAACUGCCUGAUGGAGGGGGAUAACUACUGGAAACGGUAGCUAAUACCGCAUACCACCAGACGUGCCCAGAUGGGAUUAGCUAGUGGGUGGGGUAACGGCGUACCUAGGCGACGAUCCCUAGCUGGUCUGCAGGGAUGACCAGCCACCCGGGAACUGGGACACGGUCCGGACUCCUACGGGGGGCAGCAGUGGGGAAUAUUGCACAAUGGGGGCAAGCCUGAUGCAGCCAUGCCGCGUGUGUGAAGAAGGCCUUCGGGUUGUAAGGCACUUUCAGCGGGGAGGCGUUACCCGCAGAGGAAGCACCGGCUAACUCCGUGCCAGCAGCCGCGGUAAUAC